AUUCAUUUACAGUAUAAAUUACUUCGUUAAAAUAUGUACACAAUUAAGUUAACACAAAAUUAAAACAAGUACAGUAUUUCAUACACGCAGUUAUAACUCACACACACAUACUAUUACAAGCACAUUAAUAGGUGCGUUGAAUCAUACCUCAAGCCCACCACAUAUGCAUGAUCAAUUCUGAAAUUCAUAUCAAAAUAAUCUAACAGUUCUUAAUGAUAUCAUAAAAAACCAAAACAGGUCUAAUAAUGUGUUAUCACACAUAUCACCUAUGGUUGUUUUUGGCAAUAUUUAUCAAAUACAUCUGGAUUUGUUCAGGCUUUGUUUAUAUUAACAGUCCAAAGCUUAUAAAACCAACCAACUAAAAAUUAGUUGAAUGUAUUUUGCUUUUUAGAUAAUGAAAUAUAUUGACGUUAAGGUUCAUUAGUUCAUUUCAGGUAACUAAAUUCCCUAGUGAUAUAAUUAGUUCAACUACAUUGAUAAAUUUU
rnacentral:lncRNA from 1 species